rnacentral:rRNA from 1 species
CGCGUAGGCGGCUUUGCAAGCCGGAUGUGAAAUCCCCGGGCUUAACCUGGGAACUGCAUUCGGGACUGCAUUGCUUGAGUAUGGGAGAGGGAGGCGGAAUUUCCGGUGUAGCGGUGAAAUGCGUAGAUAUCGGAAGGAACAUCAGUGGCGAAAGCGGCCUCCUGGACCAAUACUGACGCUCAUGUGCGAAAGCGUGGGGAGCAAACA